rnacentral:rRNA from 1 species
GACGAACGCUGGCGGCGUGCUUAACACAUGCAAGUCGAACGGAAAGGCCCUGCUUUUGUGGGGUGCUCGAGUGGCGAACGGGUGAGUAACACGUGAGUAACCUGCCCUUGACUUUGGGAUAACUUCAGGAAACUGGGGCUAAUACCGGAUAGGAGCUCCUGCUGCAUGGUGGGGGUUGGAAAGUUUCGGCGGUUGGGGAUGGACUCGCGGCUUAUCAGCUUGUUGGUGGGGUAGUGGCUUACCAAGGCUUUGACGGGUAGCCGGCCUGAGAGGGUGACCGGCCACAUUGGGACUGAGAUACGGCCCAGACUCCUACGGGAGGCAGAAGUGGGGAAUAUUGCACGAUGGGCGGAAGCAUGAUGCAGCAACACCGCGUGCGGGAUGACGGCCUUCGGGUUGUAAACCGCUUUCGCCGGUGACGAAGCGGGAGUGACGGUAAUGGGUAAAGAAGCACCGGCUAACUACGUG